rnacentral:rRNA from 1 species
CACAAAAUGACUCUCGGCAACGGAUAUCUCGGCUCUUGCAUCGAUGAAGAACGCAGCGAAAUGCGAUACUUGGUGUGAAUUGCAGAAUCCCGUGAACCAUCGAGUCUUUGAACGCAAGUUGCGCCCGAAGCCAUUAGGUUGAGGGCACGCCUGCCUGGGUGUCACAAA